rnacentral:rRNA from 1 species
UACCAGCACCCCGAGUGGUCGGGACGAUUAUUGGGCCUAAAGCAUCCGUAGCCGGUUCUACAAAGUCUUCCGUUAAAUCCACCCUGCUCAACAGAUGGGCUGCGGAGGAUACUACAAGACUAGGAGGCAGGAGAGGCAAGCGGUACUCAGUGGGUAGGGGUAAAAUCCGUUGAUCCAUUGAAGACCACCAGUGGCGAAGGCGGCUUGCCAGAAUGCGCUCGACGGUGAGGGAUGAAAAGCUGGGGGAGCAAACCGG